CGUAGGCAACAGAAGACUACCCACAGCUAAUAUAGCAGCAACAACGAUGUCAGUGAUAUUUCCACCAAAGGCGUCAGAUGACGGCGAUUUACUUGACACAGCAGAUGGCGUCAUGACGCCAAUUGACAGCUCGACACUUCACGAACGGGAGAGUGAGUGGUGUUGCUGUAAACCGUCAAGUAAUUACCCUUCCAAGAGUAUGCCUGUGUCAUCAGGAGAUCCCAGACGUGAGAGCCAAACUUGCGGAGGCUGAAGCACUGACAGGGGCAUGAAUUUCAUUAAAAAAUUAAAACCAUAAAUUGUUAACAACAUUGACACAUUUUGUUGACUGUUUAAUGUAUUCUAUUGGUAUAUAAUAUAUUGUAAUUAUAUU